UGGAGAGUUUGAUCCUGGCUCAGAUUGAACGCUGGCGGCAGGCCUAACACAUGCAAGUCGAGCGGUAGCACAGAGAGCUUGCUCYYGGGUGACGAGCGGCGGACGGGUGAGUAAUGUCUGGGAAACUGCCUGAUGGAGGGGGAUAACUACUGGAAACGGUAGCUAAUACCGCAUAAYGUCGCAAGACCAAAGAGGGGGACCUUCGGGCCUCUUGCCAUCAGAUGUGCCCAGAUGGGAUUAGCUAGUAGGUGGGGUAACGGCUCACCUAGGCGACGAUCCCUAGCUGGUCUGAGAGGAUGACCAGCCACACUGGAACUGAGACACGGUCCAGACUCCUACGGGAGGCAGCAGUGGGGAAUAUUGCACAAUGGGCGCAAGCCUGAUGCAGCCAUGCCGCGUGUAUGAAGAAGGCCUUCGGGUUGUAAAGUACUUUCAGCGGGGAGGAAGGUGUUGAGGUUAAUAACCUCAGCAAUUGACGUUACCCGCAGAAGAAGCACCGGCUAACUCCGUGCCAGCAGCCGCGGUA
rnacentral:rRNA from 1 species